AUUGAACGCUGGCGGCAUGCUUUACACAUGCAAGUCGAACGGCAGCACGGGCUUCGGCCUGGUGGCGAGUGGCGAACGGGUGAGUAAUACAUCGGAACGUACCCAGAAGUGGGGGAUAACGUAGCGAAAGUUACGCUAAUACCGCAUACGUUCUACGGAAGAAAGUGGGGGAUCGCAAGACCUCAUGCUUUUGGAGCGGCCGAUGUCUGAUUAGCUAGUUGGUGAGGUAAGGGCUCACCAAGGCGACGAUCAGUAGCUGGUCUGAGAGGACGACCAGCCACACUGGAACUGAGACACGGUCCAGACUCCUACGGGAGGCAGCAGUGGGGAAUUUUGGACAAUGGGCGCAAGCCUGAUCCAGCAAUGCCGCGUGAGUGAAGAGGGCCUUCGGGUUGUAAAGCUCUUUUGUCAGGGAAGAAACGGUAGAGGCUAAUAUCCUUUGCUAAUGACGGUACCUGAAGAAUAAGCACCGGCUAACUACGUGCCAGCAGCCGCCGUAAUAC
rnacentral:rRNA from 1 species